AGGAUGCACUGUCAGCAAAAGUAU
rnacentral:miRNA from 1 species